rnacentral:rRNA from 1 species
UACGUAGGGUGCAAGCGUUAUCCGGAAUUAUUGGGCGUAAAGAGCUCGUAGGCGGUCUGUCGCGUCGAAUGUGAAAACCCGGGGCUCAACUCCGGGCUUGCAUUCGAUACGGGCAGGCUAGAGUUCGGUAGGGGAGUCUGGAAUUCCUGGUGUAGCGGUGAAAUGCGCAGAUAUCAGGAGGAACACCGGUGGCGAAGGCGGGACUCUGGGCCGAUACUGACGCUGAGGAGCGAAAGCGUGGGGAGCGAACAGG